GACCAUUAUCCAACAGGAGUGAAACCUGUGGGGGUCCAUGGCAGGAGCAGUGGGAGGGAGGCAGUGAUGAGUUUGGGGGAGGCUCGGGACUGUAGUCCCUGUACCCAGCCCCGCUAAUCUCCCUCAAUGGCGGGGGAGGACACAUACUGUAAGGACGGAGAGGAGGUGGAGAGUGCACCCAAACGGACAGAAGAGGCCCUUUAUUGGCUACCCAGGAGAGGCAGAGCUGGUGUCCCGAUAGGCCUCUGGCAGACUGAUUGAAACCGUUGAUGCUGGACAGGAGUUCAGCUGGAAACAAGGGGGAUGGGACUGAAGAGGGUGUGUGUCCAAACUCCCAAGAUGUGAAUGAAUAAACCCAGAGGAGGAGGAGGGGUGCA
ensembl:lncRNA